rnacentral:snRNA from 10 species
AAAUAUGAGGGCUAUUUGGCUGCAACAUCUGUCACCCCAUUGAUCGCCAGGGUUGAUUUGGCUGAUCUGGCUGGCUAGGCAGGUGUCCCCUUCCUCCCUCUCUGUUCCAUGUGCAUCCCUCCCGAAGCUGUGUGUUCAGUCAAGGAGGAUGACCAUCACUGAUAGAGGAGGACUGGUCUUCAGUCAAGGGUAUACAAGUAGCUGCACUCUCCUGCUAGAACCUCCAAACAAGCUCUCAAUUUAGUUCAACAAACAUUUAUUGGAUGUUUUGUGUAUGUCAGGCACUGUUUUAGAUAGCUCAUUUGAAAUAGUGGUCUUC